CCUACGGGCGGCAGCAGUGGGGAAUAUUGGGCAAUGGGCGCAAGCCUGACCCAGCAACGCCGCGUGAAGGAAGAAGGCUUUCGGGUUGUAAACUUCUUUUGUCAGGGACGAAGCAAGUGACGGUACCUGACGCAUAAGCCACCGCUAACUGCGUGCCAGUAGCCGCUGUAAGGCGUAGGUGGCAAGCGUUAUCCGGAUUUACUGGGUGUAAAGGGCGUGUAGGCGGGACUGCAAGUCAGAUGUGAAAACCACGGGCUCAACCUGUGGCCUGCAUUUGAAACUGUAGUUCUUGAGUACUGGAGAGGCAGACGGAAUUCCGAGUGUAGCGGUGAAAUGCGUAGAUAUUAGGAGGAACACCAGUGGCGAAGGCGGUCUGCUGGACAGCAACUGACGCUGAGGCGCGAAAGCGUGGGGAGCAAACAGGAUUAGAUACCCCGGUAGUC
rnacentral:rRNA from 1 species